rnacentral:misc_RNA from 1 species
AGCAGCCGCGGUAAUUCCAGCUCCAAUAGCGUAUAUUAAAGUUGCUGCAGUUAAAAAGCUCGUAGUUGAAUUUCGGGAUCAAUAUGUUGGUCGUGCCUCGGUACGUACUAGCUUAUUGGUUUCUUCCUUCUGACGAACCAUAAUGUCAUUUAUUUGGUGUUAUGGGGAAUCAGGACUGUUACUUUGAAAAAUUAGAGUGUUUAAAGCAGGCUCACGCUUGAAUACAUUAGCAUGGAAUAAUGAAAUAGGACGUUUGAUUCUAUUUUGUUGGUUUCUAGGAUCGACGUAAUGAUUAAUAGGGAUAGUUGGGGGCAUUAGUAUUCAAUUGUCAGAGGUGAAAUUCUUGGAUUUAUUGAAGACUAACUACUGCGAAAGCAUUCGCCAAGGAUGUUUUCAUUAAUCAAGAACGAAAGUUAGGGGACCGAAGACGAUCAGAUACCGUCGUAGUCUUAACCAUAAACUAUGCCGACUAGGGAUCGGAUGAUGUUAAUUUUUAAUGACUCAUUCGGCGCCUUACGGG